rnacentral:rRNA from 1 species
CACGUAGGGCGCAAGCGUUGUCCGGAAUUAUUGGGCGUAAAGAGCUCGUAGGCGGUCUGUUGCGUCCGCUGUGAAAACCCGGGGCUUAACCCCUGGCUUGCAGUGGAUACGGACAGACUAGAGGUAGGUAGGGGAGAAUGGAAUUCCCGGUGUAGCGGUGAAAUGCGCAGAUAUCGGGAGGAACACCGGUGGCGAAGGCGGUUCUCUGGGACGGUACUGACGCUGAGACGCGAAAGCGUGGGGAGCGAACAGG